UCCCCGGUGGUCCAAUGGUUAGGACUCCACACUUCCACUGUGGGGGACAUGGGUUCGAUACCUGGUUGGGGAA
rnacentral:tRNA from 1 species